UACGUAGGAGACGAGCGUUGUCCGGAAUUACUGGGCGUAAAGCGCGUGUAGGCGGACAGGCAAGUCUGCUGUGAAAGCUCCUGGCUUAACCGGGAGUGGUCGGUGGAAACUGCUCGUCUGGAGGACGGUAGAGGUAGGUAGAAUUCCCGGUGUAGUGGUGAAAUGCGUAGAGAUCGGGAGGAAUACCUGUGGCGAAGGCGGCCUACUGGCCGGACCUGACGCUGAGAACGCGGAAGGCGUGGGGAGCGAACGGG
rnacentral:rRNA from 1 species